ensembl:lncRNA
CGGGGGGGGGCGGGGGGGUGGGGGGGAGCGCCGCUGCCUCCCCUCUGCCUUCCCUCUCCCUGCACCUCCCUCUCUCCUUCCCUUCCCCUCCCCUCCCCUCCCCGGGGAAGCGAUGCUCACGCAGAGGAAUGGGGAUGAGCCCCCCAGGUUCCACUCCACGCACCUGUCCCCCCCCGGUCCUGCCCUCCCGUCCUCCCCCAUGCAGACCCUCCUUUGCGGAAAAUAAAGUUGAGUUUUCCCGUCGGGAUGGAGCCUCUUUGCCAGCCCCCCCUUCUCUUCCCGUACCUCUCCCUUGACAGAGUGUGCCGUCGGUGUGCCCCCCCCUCCCCCGCCCCCCCCUCCCGCAACUCCCCAUUACUAUCUCUCAGUCCCUUUCUAUCAGCGUGACAACCGCUGGGGGAAAGGCAGUCGGGAGCGGUGAUUAAAAUGGACACAAAUCCGCUAAAGACUUCCAGCUCUGUGGUGGCGUUUGAAACCUCAUUAUUUUUGCGGACCUGCAGCGAAUAUCCAGGACGUGGCCGGCUGCGGGACAGCGGUGCGGGGCUGCGGGGCUCCGAGCACCCCCGGGCUCGGAGGGAGCCGGGAGCCGCCCACCCACCCCCGUCCCAUCGGGAGAACCCGCAGUCGGGCUCCGUGCCGGUACAGCCGCCUCCGAGUUUCGGAAGCCAACCGCAGCUCGGUGUGAAACCAUCCCGGCUCCGCGGCUCUUCCCCGGGUCCGGCGUGGAGCCGUCUUUACUCAACUCCCUCAGGCAGAAAAAUGCCUGCAGCUAUUAUCCAGCCCAUCCGCCGGAAAAGAGAGGCUACGGCAAAGCCGCGACCCUUAUUUUCAAACGACAAACUGACCAACAAAUCUUGAAUAAAUAUUUCUUGAAGCUGCUCCUCCAUAGAUAACAAAAAUCUCCAUUUGUCACCUAAACGCGGGCAUUCCGGUGUCAGUGCUUUUUUACCAGUACACCGUAGGAGUGUUGCACUGAUUUCCAACCCAGACGCAGCUGCCACGAUACGGUUCCGAAGCUCAGAAGUCAGAACAGAACUGAUCUUAAAUCAACAGGUUUUCUCGGCUGCAGCAGUUUUAUUAAGUCUAAAAAUGAAGUCCAGUGACUAUCCUAAAAUUGCUGUUAAAUGCAGAUACCCCCUCCAACUGCGCUGCCAUCAGAAAUCCCAGCAAGCCAUUUGUAUUUCUUCCUGUACUUCAAACAUUAAUAUCAUUCAUACGGGAAGGGGAACCAUUACUGCACGAAUGCGAAUGAUAGACCUGGAAAUUGACCCUAAAAUAACAUGGGAAAUGUAAACGAAGACGAAUAUGGUUCUACCGUUUAAAAAUGAAAUGGGACUCGUGCUGUAGAACCGAAAUACAGAGAUGGUUAAAAUUGUGUCUUCCAUUGGACAACACAGGAUCUCAUUCCCAUGACUCUGGUAGAACUAUGCCUGACCUGCAUUGAAGCAAAAUCAGUGAAAGC